AAUCAACGCUGGCGGCGUGCCUCAGACAUGCAAGUCGAACGCGAAAGUUUCCUUCGGGGAGCGAGUAGAGUGGCGCACGGGUGAGUAACACGUAGGUAAUCUACCUUCGGAUGGGGAAUAACAAUCGGAAACGGUUGCUAAUACCGCAUAAUGCAGCGGCACCUAAAUGGUGACAGUUGUUAAAGCGGGGGAUCGUAAGACCUCGCGUCUGAAGAGGAGCCUGCGGCGGAUUAGCUUGUUGGUAAGGUAAUGGCUUACCAAGGCGACGAUCCGUAACCGGCCUGAGAGGGCGGUCGGUCACACUGACACUGACAUACGGGUCAGACUCCUACGGAGGCAGCAGUCGGGAACUUUGGGCAAUGGGCGAAAGCCUGACCCAGCAACGCCGCGUGAAGGAUGAAAUCCCUCGGGAUGUAAACUUCGCAAGAAACGGGAAGAAUAAGCGAGAGUUAAUAUCUUUCGUGAUGACGGUACCGUUUGUAAGCUCCGGCUAACUCCGUGCC
rnacentral:rRNA from 1 species